UUUAAUAUCAUUAUACAAAAACAAAAUAUCAUUAUACAAAAAAAAAUAUUAUUUAUUGAAGACUACUAAUGGAAAUUCUAGUUUUUUAAUUACAUUUUUGUUAUAAAUAAAUUACUGUUUUAUUUGUUUUCACCAACAAUCACCGACAAACGGUUUCCUAGCAAUUUAAAUGAAAAAAUAAAAAAAAUAUCGAAAUAGAGGGGUUCAAUGAAAAAAAUUAAAGGUUAAUUUCUAUUUACUUUUUCAUAAUUAAGCAAUUAACCCUCAAACAACUUUGAUAGGUCAACAUUGAUCGACAAACGACCAACAAACGAUUGCAAUUGAAAUAAAUCGGAUCGGUUUAUAUUGAGUUGGUAUAUAAUGAGGAAUGAUUAUCAAUAUCACUUUUGCGAUUUAUUUUAUUUUAUUAUGGUCAUCAUCAGUGAAUGGAAUAAUUGGGUAUGAUUGCGAAAGAUUUUCAUCAAAUUCAACUACAAUUUCAAUUACAGAGGUGGGAGAUUGUGAUAUUCAUCCUAAAGAAAUAAAUACAACAGAACGAUUUAUUCAAUUAUUACAAUUAAAAGAAUAUUCUUUGACAAAAGUUAUUCAAUGUAAAAUUGAAGUAGAUCGAAAUAUUUAUUAUUGCGGGGCUUAUUCUCAUAUGUCAGUCGUACAUAGUGGACAUAUGGAAUAUAUUGAAGAAAUUUCAAAAGAAAGAUGUUUAGAUAUUCAUAAAUCGGGUUCAUAUAGAUUCGGUACGUUAUUUAUAACUGAUUUAAAAAUUAAUAGUACAACUACGCGUGGUGCAACACUCGCAGGAUCAAUCGGUAAUGAUGGGACGUGUAAAGGGGGAAGUUAUUCAGAUUUUUAUGGAAGUUGGAGUAGUAUUGUCGCUCAAGGGGUUUUAAAAAUAACAAUACAAGAAUAUUUCGCGGAAGUUAUAUAUGAAAAUGAUAAAGUUUAUUUAAAAUCAGGUUUAACGUGUACUUUAUCUGAUUUAUCUUGUUUAGAUUUAGAGGAAGGUUAUACUUUUUGGGACUAUAUUCCAUCACACAAAUGUGAUUUUCAAAAUUUCGGGGUUUUAUAUACGGGUAAAGUAAAUAAAACAUCUGAGAAAAAUUCAGAUAAGCAUGAAAUUGUUUAUUCUUUAGAAUCAAAUGGAAUAACAUUUGCAUUAACCACCACAAAUAUUGGAAUUAUUUGUGGUUAUAAAAUAAUCAGAACUGAACAUCCAAAAUUAUUUAUCUUUGAAACAUCAAAGAAUGAUUUAAUGUUAAGUAAUAAAAUAUCAAUAGAAAAUUUAGAUUUAUUUGCAUAUAUUAAUUCUAAGUUUGUAUACGUAGAAAAAUUUAUACAAAAACAAAUUAAACAAUUAUAUUAUGAUGUAUUAAUUCAUCGUUGUAUGUUAGAACGUAAUACUUUAAAAAAUUAGUUAUCAAUUGCGUCAAGUAAACCAGACGAGUUUGCUUACAAUUAUAUGAAAGGACCAGGUUAUAUAGCUAUAAUGUCAGGUGAAUCGAUAAAUGUUGUUAAGUGCAUACCUGUUGAAGUAUCAGUUUACCCAAGAACAGAGUGUUAUAACGAAUUACCAGUGAAAAUAGCAAAUGACAGUUACUUUUUAACUCCAAAGACAAGAAUUUUAGUAAGAAAAGGAACUCAGAUUGAUUGCAAUCCACUUUUUCCACCUUUAUUUUUAAUAGAUGGAUCAUGGUAUAAAUUUACACCUAAUCCAGUUGAAGUUUUACCACCAAAUAAAAUUCAACCAUUAACUAAACCAACAUGGAAAUAUACUUCUCCAAAAUUCUUAGCUACAAGCGGAAUUUAUUCUGAACAAGAUCUCGACAAAUUAAGACAUAGAAUUAUGUCUCCAGUGGAAAAACCAGCGAUUUUAAGUAAUAUUGCUAGAGGAAUGGAUGUUUUGAAUUUUGCAAAUCAAGAUGAAAAUUCCUGCCGGAGUACUUAAGCAGAUGAAAGAAGAUGAAGAAUUAGAUGCAUUAUAUGGAAUUCCACAUACAAGAAUUCCUGGAAGAAAUUUAAAAUUUUAUGCAAGUUUGAUAACAUCAUAUUGUACCAUGCCAAGGGAAAUAGUAAAAGAAUUUUAUCAUAAUGACUUUGAUAACGCAUCUAUGUGCGAAAACUGUUUAAAAGACUGUCCAAUGAUUUUUAUGAAAAGAUUUAAAUAUUGCAAUCAAAACUGGCAUCGUUUAUAUCCGUAUAAAAUUUCGGGAGAUUGUAUUAAGUGUGGUGAAGUGUUAAUAAAUCAAAAACCGGGAUAUAUUUGUAAAGAUUGUGCAAAUAAUUGGGUAAAUUAUCGUGACAUUUUAGAAAAUAAAUAUUUUAUCGAUAUUUAUGUGUAAUUUAGCCUGUUAAAAAAAAAAAAAUAUAAAUAUCAUUGUUAUUAAUAUUGUUAAUAAAUAAGUAUAUAUAUAUUUAUAUAAGAGAAAUAAAAGGAAAAAGAAAAAUAAAAAAAAGAGAGAGAAAGAGUAUAAAAAUAAAAAACAAAAGAAAAAAAAAAUAAUAAUAAUAGGAAAAAUAAUAAUUAAUUAUUGACAUAAAAAUAUAUAUUGCUAAACUUUUAUUAAUAUUCUAAAUUAUUAUUAAAUUAAAAAAUUGUAACCACUGUGGGGAAGUUUUGCUUAAAGCCCAGCCAGCAAAAAAUUGCGAUCUUUGCAAGCAAUUGUUUUUGUGGAAAGAAGAAGAAUUAUUUGCUAAAGUAUUUUUGUAUGUUGAUGAACCAUGGGGUGAAAAUAAUUAAAUAAAUUUUUUUUUUAAGUUACCUUUUUUUUAAAAAAUGAAGAAAUGAA